AUGAAAAAUGGAGUGAAUGAGACAUUAAGCCAGUUGUGCACCAUUACCCAGCUCGCAGCCCCAUCUCCUGAGGCCAGUUGCCUAGUGGAUGCUGGAGGCAGCAUUUGGACUCAGGCAGUCGAAUCCCAGAGCCCGAAUCCUGCCGUUCUCACUGUCAUCCUGGAGCUCCAGAGCCUGUGGUCACUCAGCUGGCAACCUCACAGGCAGGCCAGCCCCUCCCCAAGCUCAUUUUCCUUAUGGCCUUGCACUGACCUCAACUUUCUUGGACAUCAAAUGGACCCACUGGGCCGCUCCAGGUGUUUCCUUGCCUCCUCUUCUGAAAAUUCGGGACUGCCAUACAGACACCUCCCGGCUCUUCUGUGUGGUCAGGCGUGGGAGAGAGCGUUUGGAAGAGAAUCGAAUUUCCUUUCUGCAUCUGUGUGCUGGUGCCCAGUGCACCCUGGGACGCUAACGAACAGUGACAGAUGAGCUUCAAUUGGCUGGCGCGUGUGAGGAACCACUGGACCAGGCAAAAGAAAGCAUCAUCGGAGCCCAGCAAGGGAGGAGGAGAGAGGCUUUGCUUCAUGAAAGCCUGAACAGCAUCCAACCGAAACCAGCCGCCGCCGCCGCGCCCUGACGUGGUACUCUGCAGUUUUCAGAGUGCAUCGCAUCCAUUAUCUCCCCUGACCCGCAGACAGGCCGGCGAAGAAGGCUGAUAUGAGGUCACCCAGCCCCGUGCGUGCAGCCCCUCAAAUGCCUCCUGCGUUCCACCCCUUCUUCUCCAUUGCAUGGCCACUGCCCUUUCAAUUUCUCCCGGGAUUGUUGCAAUAGCGUCUCACUGUCUCCUGCUCCCAGCCCGCACCCUCCUGUGCCCCCUUGCUGAGUAAUCUUUUUGCACCGAAAAUUUGUUCAGCCUACAGAUGGUGUCACAGCCUCCAGUGGCCCCACCAGCUAUAGACUAAAGUCCCAACUCCCAUGUGUUCAAGGACAGCUACCCCUCUCUACAAGCCCCUUUCCUUGCAGUUUCCCUUGGAGGUGAUGAUGAGCUUUCUGAAUACACCAACCUCUUCUGGGGCCAUACCUCUUCUCAUGCCAUGAGCCUAGGCUGGACCUCUGGUCUCUUCCGUCUUGCUGACCAACCCUUAGGCUUCUUUAAGACCCAGUUCAGCAUCACUGACUUCAGGGGUCCCCUGCCCACCUGGCUGCCCAUGUUCCCAUGGAGCUUGUACCCAAGGCUGUUGUAUUCCUUACCAGCUAAUUGUCCCCUUGGUCCUUCCUGCACCCAUUCCCUCUUGUACUGCACUGGGAACUUGUCAAGCUGAGAGAUAGUGCUCCUCACUGCCAGAUCCUCUCCACCCAGUGUGGUUCAGGCACCUAGUAGCUGCUCAGCUGGCAUUGAUGAAAUUGAGUUUAUAGGUGAGGGCACCGAGGCUCAGAGCAGUUAAGGCUGGGGAGACGCCCAGCUGGUAUCCUUCUCCUGUCACUACCCCUCCCUGCCUCCCUGUUUGCUCUGGGGUCUCAGCAUCAUCCACAACCCACAUACCACUGUUCAGUUACCAAAGAUACCCCUGACUUGUCUCUGCCCAACCCUUCCUUCCUCAUCUUUUCUCCAUCAGCUUCACAACCUUGGACCAGCAAGGCCAUUGCAAUACAAGCCGAGGUUGGGAAGAGUGAGGCUCAGAGACCACAGAGAUACUUUGACACAUGGAAAAAGGCAAGACUUCCUUCCCAGGAGAUUUAUCAUUCUUCAAAAAAAUGGGGUUCUCAAAGAUUCAAGGUAUUUGCUAUUCAUGCUAUUCAUGCAAACACGCUUGCACCUUGGUGUUUUAUGGUAAGGAUUCUGGGAACCAUAGGGAAGACCAGAAUCUCCAUUCCUGACACCCGUGUACUGGAAGCCACUCCCCUCGCCUCUCCCAAAUUAAAUCCACUUGGAGCCUCAGAAUGGGACAUUUCUUGGAAUAAGGAUCUCAGUAGACAUAAUUAGAGUAAGGGAGAGAUGACCUCAUCCUGGAGGAGGGUGGACCCUUAGUCCAAUGACAAGUGUCCUUAUGGGAGACAGUAAGGAGAAGACACAUAGACACAGGGGAGAAGGUCCUGUGAAGACAAAGGCAGAAGCUGCAAUGAUGGGUUUACAAGCCAAGGAAUGCCAGGGGUUUCUGGCAUCACAGAAUCUAGGAGAGUAUCUGGAAUGGACUUUUUUUUUUUCCCCAAGGUCAUUGCUUACUUUUAUUUAUUUAGUGAUUUUUAUUUUUUUCCAUUACAGUUGGUUUUCAGUGGUCUGUCAAUUCUCUACUAUACAGCAAAGUGACCCAGUCACACAUACAUAUAUACAUUUUUUAUCACAUUAUCUUCUAUCAUGUUCCAUCACAAGUGAGUAUAUAUAGUUCCUAGUGCUAUACAGCAGGAUCUCAUUGCUUAUCCAUUCCAAAGGCAAUAAUUUGCAUCUGGAAUGGACUUUCAGAGCUUCCAGAAGGAACCAAUCCUGCCAACACCCUGAUUUCAGACAUCUGGCCUCUAGAACUGUUGAGAACUGUUACUUCAAGCCACCCAAUUGUGGUCAUUUGUCACCUAGGCACCUCUAGUAAGUGAAUGAAAUGGAGCAGUAUAAAAAUACAAGGGAAGCCCAGCAGGGCCAUCGGGACCAGGAAGUCGGGGGUCCUCACCCCUCGCCAUCACGUGUGGGUACCCUCUGCUUCUCUUCCUGGCACCUCUCAGCUCCUCUAUCACUCUGCUCUUCCAGCUGCCACCAGCCCGCCACAUUGCCCCUCCAGAGGUCCUCCCUUUGCUUAAGGCUCUGCUGCUGAGCUGUCCUGUGUCUAUCAGUCUGGGGUCUUUCCAUGUCUGUUACAUAUGCUAACCUGCCAACUCUCUCAUUAUAUUAAAAAUGUCCAAGAGAGGUGAGCUGAUGGUUGAGCUCACCACCAUCACCCCCCAAAGGGCAAAGCUUUCACCCCAGGCCAGCUCACAGGCAGCAGACCUUGGCCCUGAUCCUCCAGGCAUGGCCAGGGAGGUGGGCCAGGCAUUCCCAUCAGCACAGGGGGCCCUGGAAGGGCAGGACAGAUGCCUGGAAACAGUCCCAGGUUGGUGGCCCCUUCACUGCUGAGACUAAACUUCCUGCAGAAUUGAAGAAUAGGCAGUAGGAAGGCGAAAGGGAAGAAGCACUUUUUUUUUUUUUUCCAAUAGAAGAAGGAAAGUGUCAUCAAUAGAAGCUGUUGAAAAGUCCAAAUUGCAACCUUCUUGCCUCCUUUUGAUGAGCUGCCUUGAUGAGCUGUUUAGAAGAGCUCAUUGCUCUGGGUCAGCGUGACAGCUGUUGAUGACAAGGGGUAGGCGGGGAGAGGUUAGGCAGGAGGAAUAUGCGGCCAGGGCCUUGGCCAUGAUGGAUAUGCACCAAGCCUGUGCACCCCAGGUCUUUGCAAAGGGUCCAUGACAAACAGCCCAUGGUGCAUUGGGCUGUUUUACUGUAAUUCACUCCCCAAAUGCUUCUGGUGUGCAGCCCUGUGCUGAAGACACUGCCCAGACAUCCUCUCAUUUACUUUCUCCCAAGCUCCAGAGAGUGGAUGUCAGGUUGAGCUUAUGUAGUUCAGGGAUUGCAGAUGUGAACACCCAAAGUCCCAGGACCAGUACGUGAUGGAGUCAGGAUUCAAACUUAGGUCAGAGGAGGCUAGAGACAUGGCUGAGCACAGUGUAUGGUCCUUGGGGGCAUGAAGGAGAGCUAUAAAGGAUGUUAUGAGGAAUCCAGAUCAGAUAAUAGUUUUCUAUGGAGGUUAAAUUUCCCGAGUUUAAUAACUAUACUAUGAAAAUGUAGGAGAAGUUUAAGACUAAUAGGAACAAUGUCCCCAGUGUACUCUUAAAUAGAUGAGGGAGGGGAUGCGUGGAGGGAGAGAGGGAGAGAAUGAGAAAGGGAGAAUAAUAAAGUGAAUGAGACAAAAUGUGGUGAACUAUGGGUUGAUUUGCAUCUCCUAGAAUUUUAUAUAAACGUUAUUAUGUUGAAUGUACUCCUUUUUGCUGGCUUCUCUUGUACAUAAUUUCUUUGAGAGCCAUCCAUGUUGUAGCAGGCAUCCAAAUUCAUUCCUUUUCAUAGCUAAGUAGUAUUUCAUCUAACGGAUAAACCAGUUAGUCUAUUCAUUCCCCUGCUGUUGGACACUGGUUGUUUUCAGUUUUGGGCAGUCAGGAAUCAAGCAGCCAUGAUUUGUGUCCCAGUUCUUUGGGUGGGCAUUGCUUUUGUUUCAACAGAAUGCCUAGAUCAUAUAUAUGGUAGGUGUGUGUUAACUGUUUAAGAAAUUGCCCAACUAUUUUCCAAAGCAGCUGUACCCCCCAGUAGUGCACGAGGCUUCCUGUUUCUCCACAUUCUUUCCUUGGUAUGGACUGACUUGGUAUUGCUGGUCUUUUCCAUUAGAGCCCUUCCAGUGGACCUGUAGUGAUGUCUCCUUGUGGUUUUCACUUGCAUUUUCCUAGUGACCAGUGGUGUUGCUCUUAUCCCCCUGCCAUUCCCUCUCCUGCUUUUCUGGGGGCACUGCGACCUUCUGGGGCAAGACCUCAGGGACUUGCCCCUACAGCCCAGAGGUGAACAGUCACGUCCCGAACAGAAAGCAUGCAAGUGGAUGGGCCCAGGAUGAAGACUGGAGGGCCACAUAAGAGCCUGGGGUGCUUUCAGGCCAAGGUAUUUGUCCCAUGGCUCUGACGAGCAGAACCCACCCUUCAGAUGGGGCACCCACCUGCUCAGCAGCCCAUGCUCGAGCUUUUCCACAGGCAGUCAGUACACAGGAUACUUCAGGUCCUAACCCUCAGACGUGAUGUGUUUGCUCAACAACCCUUAAGUUCCUCCCCUGUGUUCAGUUCUGUGACCAGUAUAAGCCUUUGAUGGGUUUUGGUUAUUGGCAAUUAUCAGAGUAAAGUGAAAACUCUCAAGGAUAAUCUGCAAGGCCUUUCUUGAUCAAGUUCCUAAAUUUGGUCUUUCCUACCACAUCCUUCCACAUCCCUCCAGCCUACGCUCCACAUCUAACAAACACCCCAGUGUCCCAGACUUGCCAGCUCCUUCCUGCCUCCCUGCCUUAACCUUCCCUCCUGCUUCUCCCUCCCUUGGCCAGUGGAGACCUUCUCAGCCUGUCACAGCACCAAGCGUCCCUUGUGCCUCUCCUCAACCUCAAAGGAUGGUUUUUUCAGGACCAGCAUGGUCUCAACUGGAUCCAUGUACAGUUUAUGCGGGUCACGGGGAGUGGGGAGGGGCCUGUGAGCCGAAAGGCUGGAUGCUGUUACACACCCACUGCAGCACACAGAGGUUCCUCGUCAGCUGGGCCCGGCUGAAUUGAGUGCAUUUCUGCACCAUGCCUUCCCCCCCCUGAUCGUGGGGACUGGGAUGACUCCCCACCGCCACCACUCCCACAUGUGGCUCACAAGUCACUCCAAUUGCCGGAGGUGGCACCCGCCAUGUUCUGAAAAGCUAAGUGCCUUCGCCCCCUUCGCCACCCUUACCUGGAACAGCCAUUUUUGUUGUGUGAACACAUGGCCCGGGAACUUAAACACUAAAACCAGUUAGUUCCUCAGGGGGCGUCAUCUUAACCAUGCCAAACUCAACAAGAUAUAAACUGGUCCUAGAAGCCUUCUCUUCCUCCUUCCUUCAUUUUUUUUUUUUUUCUUUUUCUUGUUCCAGCAGCACUUAUCCAUCUGUGCUUCCACCACAGAGCUAUUCCCACUAGAAAUGCCGUGAAACCUUUCAAAUAAAAUAUUUAACGUGUGGAUCCAGUAA
rnacentral:lncRNA from 9 species